UACCAGCACCCCGAGUGGUCGGGACGAUUAUUGGGCCUAAAGCAUCCGUAGCCGGUUUUACAAGUCCUCCGUUAAAUCCAACUGCUUAACAGAUGGGCCGCGGAGGAUACUAUAAGGCUAGGAGGCAGGAGAGGCAAGCGGUACUCAGUGGGUAGGGGUAAAAUCCGUUGAUCCAUUGAAGACCACCAGUGGCGAAGGCGGCUCACUGGUCCGGUACUGACGCUGAGGUGCGAAAGCGUGGGGAGCAAACAGG
rnacentral:rRNA from 1 species